UAUAGGUCAAGCUACAAAGGGCGCAUGGUGAAUGCCUUGGCAUCAGGAGCCGAUGAAGGACGUGAUAAGCUGCGAUAAGCUUCGGGUAGGCGCACAUAGCCUGAGAUCCGAAGAUCUCCGAAUGAGGAAACUCACAUGGGAAACCCCAUGUAUCAUUAAGUGAAUACAUAGCUUAAUGAAGGU
rnacentral:rRNA from 1 species